rnacentral:lncRNA from 1 species
CCUUUGGUAGGUGCGCUUUGCUUCCUAACCCGUUGCCGGGUUGGAGAUUCCACCUCCGAAGUUUUCUUUCUGACUUUUGAUUUUACAUUCCUAGUACAGUGGAGAAGCCCAGGCGGCCUAGAAUCCAGUGUCGUCCGUGAGUGCUUGGCUGGUGUUCAAGUGCAUCUUCCAGCCUGAGACCGCGUGGACUCGCUCAUCGUGAGGGCGAGAGGAGGAUAAGCCCAUUGGGCUGUCGGCUGAGAGUGAGGUGCGGGACCAUCCACAAUAUUGUUUGAACAUCUGAAGACAUGGGGAACUUGCCAUCUGAUAUCUGAUAACAGACUUCCUGUAAAGCAGGACUGGUAGUUUCCUGAUAACAAAUUCUUCAAUAUGAAGAUUGCUGAUGAAAUCCUUGGCAUCGUCGGAGAUCUCAUCGAAUGCCUCGUCGUCGAAGUCCCAGGUGGCUGAGGUAACGUUGGCCAAGGUUUCGUUAUCGUUGUCUCCCAUGAAGGGGGAAAGGCCACUGACUCUGGAGAGACAAGAGCAGGACAGCAGGUGUGGCUAGGAGAGGGCGCGACGACCAGAUGAGGGAAUUGAGGCACAGCCCAGGCUCAAGUCACCUGCCCAAAGAUUCACAGCCAGUGAGAUUGGAAGCCAGGUAUCUGCCUCUAGAGCCUGUCCUCUUAAAUGCUAUACUAUCCUAACAUUUCUGUAAAGAUGAAGUAAAUUGCAGUGUUCAGCACUGGCACCAGGCCUGGUCCACAGUAAGGAGGCGGUCCAUGCCCGGAGAUCUCAUGCAGUUCUGCUGGGUUCCCUCCACUGCCUUACCAAGCUGUGAGUGCAGGAAUGACUUUGUGACCAGCAGCUUAAGCCAAAUAAACUUUAUAAGGUAAAGAAUUUCAAAACAAAA